GAUCAUGGCUCAGAUUGAACGCUGGCGGCAUGCUUUACACAUGCAAGUCGGACGGCAGCGGGGUAGUGCUUGCACUACUGCCGGCGAGUGGCGAACGGGUGAGUAAUAUAUUGGAACGUACCGGGUAAUGGGGGAUAACCAAUCGAAAGAUUGGCUAAUACCGCAUACGCUCUAAGGAGGAAAGCAGGGGACCUUCGGGCCUUGCGUUAUUCGAGCGGCCAAUAUCUGAUUAGCUAGUUGGG
rnacentral:rRNA from 1 species